UCCUGCAAAAUACAAAAACCCAGCAAAAACCCCACAAGAAAAAAAUUGUGGCAGAACACCAAAAUGUUUCCGUGUUUUUCAUACACAGCUGCACAGUCUGUAAACCCAGCAAUUCUCUGUCUACCCUCUUUUUCCUCCCACCACAGCAAAUUUCCCCAACCUCAGCUUCAGCCAAAGCAACCCAAUAAGAAGAUGCAGCGGCAGACGCUGCGACGGUGCGGCACCUAUGAGGUGGGCGGCGGAUACCCGGACGAAGGAUUUGGCGCACAAGGGAAGAACAAAACUGCCCAAGAGCAAGGCAGCUCAAAAUUGGAGCCUGCCCAAUACGAAGCCCUUCUCAGAGGUGGUGAGCAGGUCACUUCUGUUCUUGAAGAGAUGAUCGUACUUUUGGAGGAUAUGAACAUGGAUGAGGCAUCUGAAGAGGUGGCAGUGGAAAUUGCUGCACAGGGGGUCCUAGGGAAGAGAGUUGAUGAAAUGGAGGCCAGUUUCAUGAUGGCUCUAGAUUACAUGAUCCAACUCGCUGACAGUGACCAAGAUGAUAAGCGCAAGUCUCUAUUGGAGGUGAUCAAGGAGACAGUAUUAUCCUAUCUUACAAAAAAAUGCCCCCCACAUGUUCAAGUGGUUGGCCUACUCUGUAGAACUCCCUUAAAAGAAAGCAGGCAGGAAUUACUACGCAGAGUGGCUGCUGGUGGUGGUGUGUUUAAAAGUAAAAAUGACAUCAAAGUUCAUGUUCCAGCUGCAAAUCUUAAUGAUAUUGCUAACCAGGCUGAUGAUAUACUGGAGACAAUGGAAACUCGGCCUAUAGUUCCAGAUCGAAAACUGCUUGCAAGACUUGUUUUGAUCAGAGAGGAAGCUCGGAAUAUGAUGGGAGGUGGAAUACUAGAUGAGAGAAAUGAUCGUGGAUUUAACACUCUUCCAGAAUCCGAGGUGAAUUUCUUAACCAAACUGGUAGCUUUAAAGCCAGGGAAGACUGUCCAGGAGAUGAUAAAAAAUGUAAUGGAAGGUAAAAAUGAAGGUGCUGACCACUCUAGCAGUGAUGAGGAAGAUGGCACUGGUGCGACAAGUGGAAUUGGAGGAAGGGAAAGUGUUUCAGGACGAAAACCACUUCCUGUGCGCCCUGGCAUGUUUCUUGAGACUGUCUCCAAGGUCUUAGGUGGUAUAUAUGGUGGAAAUGUCUCUGGCAUCACAGCACAACAUCUAGAAUGGGUUCAUCAGAAGACACUCGAAGUUCUUCAGGAAAUAGCAUUUUGAACAUUUUACCCGGGAAUCAGACACAAGCGUGGCUCGAAUCAUACUUUGUUUAAAGGAAAACACCGAGAAUCAGCAAAACUGAUGAUGAAGAUUUAACAGUGUCCAAUGAACACCAGUGCAACACCAUGUGUGGAAAUGUCCCACAAAUAUGGAUUUUGAUAUGCUUGCAUCAGUGCAAACUUCGGUGGACCUCGGUAAUGAUUCAUAUGCCUUGAGUAGUAGAAGCAAACACAGCAAGGAUCGGUAUACUUUCACAUGCUUAAUUAAAUGGGGCACGCUUGCUCAGGUGUCACACAUCGUUGCCCCCCACAUCUUCCUCGAGAAUGUAGAGGGCAAAUGACCUCCCACGCGAGCACGCCGCACAAUUGCCAUAAAGCCAAGUCCUCAACGACAAACUCAUUGGAAGACGAAUGGCACAUCAUUAAUAUUAUUGAUGUCAGUAUGUUUUGUUGGUUAUAACAACAUCAACACAUUAUUAACAACUUAUCAAUACAUUAUGAACAACAUUGCUUCAACACAUUA